ACCCUGAAGGACUAAUGUUUAGGACACAGCCUUCUCAUCACUGUGGCCUGGGUUCAAGUCCCAGCUAGGGUU